rnacentral:rRNA from 1 species
CUACUGACGCUCAUGCACGAAAGCGUGGGUAUCGAACAGGAUUAGAUACCCUGGUAGUCCACGCGGUAAACGAUGAUAACUAGUUAUCCGGCCCGAUUGGGGGUUGGGUGACCGAGCGAAAGCGUUAAGUUAUCCACCUGGGGAGUACGCCGGCAACGGUGAAACUCAAAGGAAUUGACGGGGGCCCGCACAAGCGGAGGAACAUGUGGUUUAAUUCGAUGAUACGCGAGGAACCUUACCCGGGCUCAAACGCAAGGCGCUACACCCUGAAAGGGGUGGUUCUUCGGACGUCUUGCGAGGUGCUGCAUGGUUGUCGUCAGCUCGUGCCGUGAGGUGUCGGCUUAAGUGCCAUAACGAGCGCAACCCCCAUCUUCAGUUGCCCCCGGGUCGUGCCGGGCACUCUGGAGAGACUGCCGGCGCAAGCUGCGAGGAAGGCGGGGAUGACGUCAAAUCAGCACGGCCCUUACGUCCGGGGCGACACACGUGUUACAAUGGCGGGGCUACAGAGGGGAGCCAGGCGGCGACGCCGAGCUGAUCCCGAAAACCCGUCUCAGUUCGGAUCGGAGUCUGCAACCCGACUCCGUGAAGCUGGAUUCGCUAG